GUUAAAAAGCUCGUAGUUGGAUUUUGGGUUUGGUAAAAUCGGUCUGCGUUAUGUAGUACUGACUUGCCUGCCCUUCUUCUCGAGGCCUAUGGGUGCACUUAACCGUGUGUUCAUAGUGUUCGGGACUUUUACCGUGAGAAAAUUAGAGUGUUCAUAGCAGGCUUUUGCUUGAAUAUUGCAGCAUGGAAUAAUGGAAUAGGAUCAUGAUCUUAUUUUGUUGGUUUCUAAGAUCAAGAUAAUGAUUAAUAGGGAUAGUUGGGGGCAUUAAUAUGUAGUUGUCAGAGGUGAAAUUCUUAGAUUUACAAAAGAUUAACUUCUGCGAAAGCAUUUGCCAAGGAUGUUUUCGUUAAUCAAGAACGAAAGUUGAGGGAUCGAAGACGAUCAGAUACCGUCGUAGUCUUAACCAUAAACUAUGCCGACUAGGGAUUGGUGGUCGUUACUUAUGACUCCAUCAGCACCUUAUGAGAAAUCAAAGUUUUUGGGUUCUGGGGGGAGUAUGGUCGCAAGGCUGAAACUUAAAGGAAUUGACGGAAGGGCACCACCAGGAGUGGAGCCUGCGGCUUAAUUUGACUC
rnacentral:rRNA from 1 species